UACGUAGGGCGCAAGCGUUAUCCGGAAUUAUUGGGCGUAAAGAGCUCGUAGGCGGUUUGUCGCGUCUGCCGUGAAAGUCCGAGGCUCAACUCCGGAUCUGCGGUGGGUACGGGCAGACUAGAGUGAUGUAGGGGAGACUGGAAUUCCUGGUGUAGCGGUGAAAUGCGCAGAUAUCAGGAGGAACACCGAUGGCGAAGGCAGGUCUCUGGGCAUUAACUGACGCUGAGGAGCGAAAGCAUGGGGGAGCGAACAGG
rnacentral:rRNA from 1 species